AUACCUUUCUCGGCCUUUUGGCUAAGAUCAAGUGUAGUAUCUGUUCUUAUCAAUUUAAUUUCUGAUACGUAGGCUAUGUGCCUACUUUGAUAUUAAAUUUAUUUUUUGUGGGGGUGGGUCCGUCACAAUGGCUUGCCAUUGGGGCCCUUGUGUGUAGUCUAGGCGUUGCACUACAGCCUAGGCCUGGCACACCCCAA